rnacentral:rRNA from 1 species
UACGUAGGUGGCAAGCGUUAUCCGGAAUUAUUGGGCGUAAAGCGCGCGCAGGCGGUCCUUUAAGUCUGAUGUGAAAGCCCACGGCUCAACCGUGGAGGGUCAUUGGAAACUGGGGGACUUGAGUGCAGAAGAGGAGAGCGGAAUUCCACGUGUAGCGGUGAAAUGCGUAGAGAUGUGGAGGAACACCAGUGGCGAAGGCGGCUCUCUGGUCUGUAACUGACGCUGAGGCGCGAAAGCGUGGGGAUCAAACAGG